GGAAGUAUGUUGUUGUCUGUUCUAUCGAAUAUUCACACGCAUGAGGCCACUGGUUCGAGUCCAGUAGCUUCCACCA
rnacentral:tRNA from 1 species